UGGGCGAAAGCCUGAUGCAGCAACGCCGCGUGAGUGAAGAAGGCCUUCGGGUUGUAAAGCUCUGUCUUUUGGGACGAUAAUGACGGUACCAAAGGAGGAAGCCACGGCUAACUACGUGCCAGCAGCCGCGGUAAUACGUAGGUGGCGAGCGUUGUCCGGAUUUACUGGGCGUAAAGGAUGCGUAGGUGGAUAUUUAAGUGGGAUGUGAAAUACCCGGGCUCAACUUGGGUGCUGCAUUCCAAACUGGAUAUCUAGAGUGCAGGAGAGGAAAGUGGAAUUCCUAGUGUAGCAGUGAAAUGCGUAGAUAUUAGGAGGAACACCAGUGGCGAAGGCGGCUUUCUGGACUGUAACUGACACUGAGGCAUGAAAGCGUGGGGAGCAAACAGGAUUAGAUACCCUGGUAGUCCACGCCGUAAACGAUGGGUACUAGGUGUGGGAGUUGUCAUGACUUCCGUGCCGUCGUUAACACAGUAAGUACCCCGCCUGGGGAGUAC
rnacentral:rRNA from 1 species